UGGGGAAUCUUGGACAAUGGGCGCAAGCCUGAUCCAGCCAUGCCGCGUGAGUGAAGAAGGCCUUAGGGUUGUAAAGCUCUUUUGCCAGGGACGAUAAUGACGGUACCUGGAGAAUAAGCCCCGGCAAACUUCGUGCCAGCAGCCGCGGUAAUACGAAGGGGGCUAGCGUUGUUCGGAUUUACUGGGCGUAAAGCGCACGUAGGCGGAUCGUUAAGUCAGGGGUGAAAUCCCGGAGCUCAACUCCGGAACUGCCUUUGAUACUGGCGAUCUUGAGGCUGGAAGAGGUUAGUGGAAUUCCCAGUGUAGAGGUGAAAUUCGUAGAUAUUGGGAAGAACACCAGUGGCGAAGGCGGCUAACUGGUCCAGAUCUGACGCUGAGGUGCGAAAGCGUGGGGAGCAAACAGG
rnacentral:rRNA from 1 species